rfam:Gossypium hirsutum cultivar TM-1 unplaced genomic scaffold scaffold743.1, whole genome shotgun sequence
AACCCAUGGUGAGGGCACCUUCUUAAUAAGUCCUUGUAUCUCUCCCAUGCAUCAUAAAGAGAUUCUAAAUCCAGAUGUACAAAAGAAGAGAUAUUAUUCCUUAGUUU